rnacentral:tRNA from 1 species
AGAGUUUUAGUUCAUAGAGGACGUCCCGCUGUUAACGGGGAAGAGGGCGGUGGUGCCCAUGCUCUU